GAUGAACGCUGGCGGCGUGCUUAACACAUGCAAGUCGAACGGUGAAGGCGGAGCUUGCUCUGCUGGAUCAGUGGCGAACGGGUGAGUAACACGUGAGCAAUCUGCCCCUGACUCUGGGAUAAGCGCUGGAAACGGCGUCUAAUACUGGAUACGAGCUGCGAAGGCAUCUUCAGCAGCUGGAAAGAAUUUCGGUCAGGGAUGAGCUCGUGGCCUAUCAGCUUGUUGGUGAGGUAAUGGCUCACCAAGGCGUCGACGGGUAGCCGGCCUGAGAGGGUGACCGGCCACACUGGGACUGAGACACGGCCCAGACUCCUACGGGAGGCAGCAGUGGGGAAUAUUGCACAAUGGGCGAAAGCCUGAUGCAGCAACGCCGCGUGAGGGACGACGGCCCUCGGGUUGUAAACCUCUUUUAGCAGGGAAGAAGCGAAAGUGACGGUACCUGCAGAAAAAGCGCCGGCUAACUACGUG
rnacentral:rRNA from 1 species